rnacentral:antisense_RNA from 1 species
GCAUAUGUGAGAUGACAAACAUUUUAAAGCAAAAGAAAGAACAAGUUAUUUUUACUCUAUUUUUUAAAAAUUAUUAGCAGCAAAAUGGGAUUAAAUGAAAACGAUGAGUGUUCAAAUUUUUGUUAAAAAGGCUAGUCAACUGAAACUAGAAAACCAUCAACUCCCAAAUUCACAAUAGUGUGAAUAAAAUUUAGAAUAAAACUGAAAACAAGUGACUAAAUCAUUCAAGUCCUUUUCUAAAAUUACAGAGCAAGAGGUUAAGAUGCAGGAAAGAGCUGAAGAAGGAGAAAGUGAACAGUGAAACUAAGAGGUGAUGUACUUUAUGCUCUUCAACCCUGUGGCACCAAACUUCGCAAGCAGAAAAGAACUAAGACUCACCUGUCAGCUCUGGUCACCAAAGGGGCUUAGAAAUGAACUGCUACAAGGCUCUUAGGAACAUUCACCUCUAUCCUCUCCAGUAGCAAGUACAAGGACAACUGCCAGAUGCAAU